CAUGUUGCUCCUACCAAAACACACUGAUUGUACUAUUGAUGGUCUGAAUGUCAACACCUCAGUCCAGCUCAGCAACAACAAACACUGCAUCAGCUGUGUGGAAACUCUGCUCUAGUGUAGCUUAAGAAAGCAGAGAUGGAAGGGAAAUCAAUACUACUGGGGGAAAGAAAAGCAGCACCAGCUCUUACCCAGUAAAAACACAACUCCCUUCACCCACCUCAGUGUCCAGUUAAGGGGCCUGCUGCAAAGGUCAUCAUGAUAUUUUUUUGGUACAGAAAAACCUCCUAACUGCUUCCUAAGGUGUAACUUUGCAGACUACCAUGUUAACAGGAAAUUUUCACAUUAAUGCUCCUGCAAUGCUGCAACUUAAAUACCUUGUUCAGACAGAAGGGGGAGUGACUUCAAGGUGUUUUUUAAUGCUGACUUUUGCCAUUUGUAAAACCACAGGUAGAUGUCUUCAUUACUGACUUGCUUAAAUCUAAGUUAAGUUUAAUGUAGUUUAACCACAAUCAUCUGUUUCCCCCUAGCCCCCAAAAUGAGGUGGAAGCACCUGGAGGCAUUCAGCCCUUUCAGCACUCACCCAGCUAAAACUAUGGACAUUACGUAAAAGUGAUAGUAGACUCUGCAACAUGUAAAGUUACAGGUUAGUUAUUUGCUAAUGGUUUAGUAUGGGUAAUCAAGAGUGUGGGAUGCUCCUCACAGCUGUGAUACCUCAGGAGUAUACUGUUGUGCUUCUGCUUUUCACAGGGCAGAAACUAACCAUGCACCCUGUAACUGGUGUGUGAGGGUGGGCCAUAAGGACGUUACCUGACUUAACAGGACUAGCUUUGGAGUAAUGCACAGUCUCCUUACAUCCUCAGGGAA